rnacentral:ncRNA from 2 species
ACACAAGCCUCGGGGUGGUCAUUUUGACCUGAGAUCCUCUCACCGGAGAUGGAACCCGAUGAACCUGAUCCAGUUAAUACUGGCGUAGGGACAGGCUGAUCCUGAUAUA